UACGUAGGUGGCAAGCGUUGUUCGGAAUAACUGGGCGUAAAGGAUGCGUAGGCGGUUAAACAAGUUAUAUGUUAAAUAUAUAGGCUUAACCUGUAGAAAGCAUAUAAAACUGUUUAACUAGAGUGCAGGAGAGGUAAGUGGAAUUCCUAGUGUAGCGGUGAAAUGCGUAGAGAUUAGGAAGAACACCAGUGGCGAAGGCGACUUACUGGACUGUAACUGACGCUGAGGCACGAAGGCCAGGGGAGCGAAAGGG
rnacentral:rRNA from 1 species